rnacentral:rRNA from 17 species
CGGAAACUCUGGUGGAGGCUCGUAGCGGUACUGA